GGCCGGCAGGACAACAAAUUGUAUUUCUGCUCCAAGAAGUAUAGAAGGGGAUUGCCAGUGAGAUCUGCUCUCUACAGACCUACAGCAAUUCUUCUGGAGACCUCCUCUCCAAAUGCGGAAUAGUUUUGCAAGGGAUUGACGGCGAUUGCCAAAACCUCUCUGCCCUAAAGCCAGCAAGUGGAAACGUUUCCGUUUCUCCUCUGGAUCUGACCCGAAGUCCCGGGACCCGAUGCCAUUCUGAAGAUUUAUUAGUGAAUCCUUCAUCUGCAAGACAAGAAAUUUCUCCACUGUGAUGCUACCCUAGAGACUUCUCUCCUUGACGUGCAUGGACCCCAUGAGGUGACAGAGAAGCUGCGGUAUCCUGCGAAUAGCCCUUGGGACCUGCUGCCCACCGCUACGUCAGAAGAUGGAUCUAAAGGGAGACAGCAGCGGAGGUGACGCACCUGAUGGACUACAGUGGAACCAGACAUGCUGUGUCAGCCCUUGAUACAAGGCUUUCUCUGUAUUAUGAGUAAUAGCAGCACUGGCGCUCUUUUUAAUGGCAGGUAAGUGUAGGUAUCAAGCCCCUCCCUUCAGGCCCAAGUAAUCCUCCAGAACAGGGCUGGAGGCUGCUGAGUGGAGCAGCAUCAGGACAGAUGCCAGCACUCGAGGCGCUGACAGCAGGAUCACCGGGACUGGCUGCCCAGAGCUGCCCCGCAGGGCCACGUGACAGGCCACGGGUAGGUACCAGCGGUGAGCCUGGCGAGGAGGUGGAGCUCG